rnacentral:rRNA from 1 species
CGAUAGUUCAUUCAAAUAUCUGCCCUAUCAACUUUCGAUGGUAGUAUAGAGGACUACCAUGGUGGUAACGGGUAACGGAGAAUCAGGGUUUGAUUCCGGAGAAGGAGCCUGAGAAACGGCUACUACUUCCAAGGAAGGCAGCAGGCGCGCAAAUUACCCAAUCCCGACACGGGGAGGUAGUGACAAAAAAUAACAAUACCGGUCUUAUUUAAGUCUGGUAAUUGGAAUGAGUACAAUCUAAAACCUUUAACGAGUAUCAAUUGGAGGGCAAGUCUGGUGCCAGCAGCCGCGGUAAUUCCAGCUCCAAUAGCAUAUAUUAAAGUUGUUGCAGUUAAAAAGCUCGUAGUUGGAUUUUGA